GGCUAAAUAGCUCAGUUGGUAGAGCAAAGGACUGAAAAUCCUUGUGUCGGUGGUUCAAUUCCACCUUUAGCUA
rnacentral:tRNA from 3 species